rnacentral:lncRNA from 1 species
GUUCAAGUUGGAUUUUAUCGACAGCAUCGAGUGGGAUUUGAAGCGCUGUAAGAGAGAAUCACGUUUUCGGGAACUUCUCCUUCCCUUUCUUGGAUACCCGGUGAAAGCAGCAUUGCCUCAGCCAUUGGUGGGGAUCCUGUCCCAGCUACAGCCAGGUGAUUGGGUGGUGGUCAAGGAUCUGAGGAGGUGGACUGGACCAUUCCAAGUAUUGCUGACCAAUCCAACCACUGUUUGUGUGUCUGAGAGGUCUACGUGGAUCCAUGCCAGCCACUGCCGGAAAGUGCCUCACGUUCCAGCUGAGGAUGUACCAAAGAUGAGCGACUGCCAGGUGCAGUCUAGAUGGCCAUGGGAGGACCAGGACCAGACUCUACGCAUCAUGUUUGUUGCUUUCGUGCUCAUCCUCCUCAUUACAGCUGGAGUAUGGAUGCAGGGAACAGGCAAACAACAGAGAGCAGAAAAGCUGAACUCAACCAACUUGACCAACUUGACCGCAGUCCCAUGGAGGACUUAAAUAACAGCCACUCUCGCCCCUCCUGGGGUGAAGCCCCCUCACAGGAAAUGCUCUUUCUGCACCAUCUCCAUGAUUGGGAGAACACUGGGGUUUUUCACCUGAAUCACACUGCUCUAGCUAUUAACCUGACAGACUGGUAUGUGUGUGGGCAUAUCCCCUUAGCUACCACAGUAGGGGUUCCAUUUAGGGGGGUAGAAGUACAUGAGCCAGUUUGGGUAUACUACUUGGCCUGGAACCACUAGUCAGGGGCUCCAAAACCUGCUCUGAGUAUAGGCAGGCUGAGUUCCCUAACAUACAUUUUACUGGCCCAUCCCCAUUGGUAUUCAGCAACUAUACAUGGAGUAGGAAGAAGGUAAACGGUAGUAACCUGUUGGGUACUUCCCCACCCUUUAUGAAGGUUGUGAAAGGAGGGCUAGCACGGAUGUGCCUGAAGAAGAAUGCAAUGGUUAGAUUAUUUGACGCAGGUAACUGCUCAUGUGCCUCAUUCUGCCUGCCUUCCUCGGAGGCCUCCGCUAACCUAGCAUAAUGUAAAUUUGGCAAUAUGUCUGGAUUAGUAAUGCUGGAUUGGAUGGAUGCCCCGAUGGGGUAUAGCUGGAUCUGUGGUCAUAAGAGCUGUCCUUGGUUGCCACGUGAUUGGCAUGGUUCUUGUUAUGUGGGUGUGCCAGUACCAGUGAUCACGUGUAUGACCGCACGUAAGGUAGGAGAUGUGUUAACGAUAUCCCAUCCGACAGGUAGACGGGGGAAGCGCUCACCUGAGAAAGUGGCAGUCUCACCUCUGGAUAUGUUUUUCAGGGGCCUCCUGCCCUUGUAUGGAACUGUUCCUAAUGCCCACGAAGUUAAUAAGUUGUUUCACUUGCUUAGUAAAUGGAUUGCUCUGAAAAGAGAGGGGUGGGACCCUUUUGCAGCGCUGAAGAGUAUCUUUGUGGCAUGGGGAGCUACAGUGUUUCACUGGUUAAUCUAUGGGGAAGUUAUCUUACUGGUAGUCAUGGCAGCAGUAGUGUGUGUUAGGAAGAUCUGUGCGGAAGCAGUAGAUCUCACUCUUAACAUGGCACUGGUAAUGGGCAAUGUGGGUGCUAGAGUGGUGCCUAAUGCAACAGUGGAUGGUCAGUAUAUGAGUGACUUUCCUGAUCUUUUCCCCAUUUCUGACUAUCUGGAGGAUGAGGGAUUGCUACAGGCCAGUGCCCCUCCUCUGGAUGUUGAGUCUGGGGAACCAGUGCAGGUCAUGAUUCAUACUGCAUGCACAAAAUGCCCUAAGAAGGGUUUCUGUUAUUGGUGCAGGAAGGGAUGGAAAAAGGUGAUAAGCAUUUGCACCAUGCUGACCCCUUGAACUGAGCUAGAUGCCAGAGAGAUGACUGUCCUAUCUGUUGUGAUGAGGCCUGUGUUUAGACACUGGUUCUCCUGUAAGUUAGGGAGCUUUUAUUAUUUCUGUUCCUUAUUUCUGUAUUUUCCCCAACAAUGUAUUAUUCUGUAUGAUUAAACAUGUGCAAGUAUGUGUUGAGGAAUUAACCUGUUGGGGCUACAGGUUAGCAAUGAACCCCGAGUCGGGAUUGCUAACAAGGCUGGAAAUUCAAAACAUCAAAAAUCUAAUAAUUUCAAUUUCUCAAACAAUCAACUAUUUUACACAAUUUAAAAGAUAAACAUCUCCUUAAUCUAACCACAUUGUUCGAUUUUCAAAGAGGCUUUACGGCAAAAGCAUAAAGUUAGAUUAUGUUAGGACAGUACAUAGCCACAAAAGUACAAACAUCCAUUUUCAAUUCAAGGUCAGGCGUCACCAAAAGCAGAAACCAGCUAGAAUUAUGCACUAACCUUUGUCAAUCUCCAUCAGAUGACACUCCUAGGACAUUAUGUUAUACAAUACAUGCAUUUUUUGUUCCAUCAAGUUCAUAUUUAUAUCCAAAAACAGCAUUUUACAGUAGCGUGAAAUUCAGAUUUUUUCUUCUCUGAAAUGCUUCCGGUGAACAUAACAAAAUUACUAUUCGAAAACAUUGGUAAAUUAUAAUAUUGUCAUUCAAAGAAUAAUAUAUUAUCAUCUCGUAAUUGCUACCGAAUGGCCAGAUCUCAAAAUAACUUUACUGGGAAAUCACAUUUUGCAAUAAACGGGGUGCUAUGCUAAGAACAAUAAGCUAUGCUAUACAGUUAGCAUCAUCUAAUAUCGAUAAUAACAUUGUAAAUAUCCCCUUACCUUUGAUUAUCUCCAUCAGAAGGCACUGCCAGGAAUCCCAGGUCCGGAACAAAUUUGUUUUUUUUUGACAAAGUUCAUAAUUUAUGUCCAAAUAACACCAAGUAGUUAGGUUCAUUAUGCUCCCACAAAACGUGGUGGGGGGGGGGGGUGUAAAAUCACGCCGAAAAGCUAAAAAAAAACUUGUAAAUAAUCUAUUUACGUUCGUUCAAACAUGUCAAAAGUUGUUUAGCAUUAAUCUUUUGGUCCAUUUUUAACGUUAAACAUCAGUAAUAUUUUCACACAACCUAUCCUAUGUCUAGAUAAACAAUGAUGACAAACUCACGCUUCUCAGAUUUAUGCGCAGGCGCAAAAAAAUGAAGUGAUGACAUGUCAACUUCUUUGCAUUCUAAUUUGCUCUCUGUUUAUCAUAGACGCUUCAAACAACUUUAUAAAGAUCGUUGACAUCUAGUGGAAGCCGUAGGUGUUGCGAAAUGAAUCCUUUCUCACUAUGGUAUCUAUAAAACAAUGACACUAAAUAGUACAGUCACAAAAUUCACAUUUUUUAAAAUCUAUUUUUCACAGGUUUUUGCCUGCAAUAUGAGUUUUGUUAUACUUACAGACACCAUUCAAACUGUUUUAGAAAAUUCAGAGUGUUUUCUAUCCGAAUGUGUUAAUAAUAUGCAUAUCCUAGCUUCUGAGUUGGUGUAGGAGGCAGUUAAAAAUGGGCACAUAUUUUUUUCAAAAUUUCUCAAUACUGCCCCCGAGCCCCAACAGGUUUUAAGGUCGUAAACUCAGUUUCCCAACGGAGGAAGCUUACAUGGAAAUAAGACACACGACAUUUUGAUUCUGGUUUUGAUUUUCUAUUUUUCUUAUUUUUAGUAAUUCAUAUACUCUGCAACAAAUGUUUGUAAGAUUUGCCAUGUUACUGUUCCUAUCUUUCCUGGAAUGAACGUAGUCCCUUUGUCAAGGUUGUGCACUACUGGUAUGAAGUCAGGUGCAGGAGAGCAGUGAGUUGUGAUCAGGCGCACUUUAUUUGUGUCACGUCCUGACCAGUAGAGGGAGUAUUUGUUAUUGUAGUUUGGUCAGGACGUGGCAGAGGGUAUUUGUUUUAUGUGGUUCGGGGGGUUAUGUGUAUGUAGAGGGGUGUUGUAUUUAUGUGUUCCGGGGUUUUGGUGUAUGUUCUGGGUUUUUGUGUUCUAGGUUUCUAGUUUGUAUAUUUCUUUGUGGUCUGUGUGGCUCUCGAUCAGGAACAGCUGUUCAUCGUUGUUCCUGAUUGGGAGUCAUAUUUAAAGUGCUUGUUUUCACCUGUUUAGUUGUGGGUAGUUGUAUUUUGCACUGCUGCGUAUAGCCUGUAAAACUGUCGUCUGUCGUUCUUUUUGUUUUCUUCGUGUUCACUAAUUAAAGAAAUAUAAUGAUGAACACGCAGCCCGCUGCGCCUUGGUCUCAUCACUACGACAGCCGUGACAAUUUGGCAGAAGCACAAAAGACAGAUGCAACUGCGUCCAAAAUCCUCCAGCCACAGGUAAAAGUAAAUAAGCGCGAAAACACUCACAAAUAUACAAAUGUAUGACAAAUACAUACAACGGGUCAAAAUACGAUACCCGGGGGAAAAACCAGUCUGGCACAUCACACUAAACACGUAACAAAACUAUUUCCCACAAAGACAUGGGGGGGACAGAGGAAUAAAUACAUGCAGUGUGAUUAGGGAAUGUAAACCAGGUGUGCAGGGAGCAAGACAAAACAAAUGGAACAAUGAUAAAUGGAGCGGCGAUGGCUAGAAAGCCGGUGACGUCGACCGCCGAACGCCGCCCGAACAAGGAGAGGAGCCGACUUCGGCGGAAGUCGUGACACCCCUAAGAGGGAAAUGUGGGAUAAAAAUUAGUAUUACUUUAAAUGAUAGGUAUGUACAAUCCUGUUACUCUGGUUGUGUAAGUUGCUGUUUUCACAUAACUCUGUACCUAAUCCACCAUGGCUGUGCACAUCUUGUGCUCUUACCUCCACCCUCUGUACUCUGAAACAGGUCUGUUUCAAACAGUCUCUCCUUAUCCUCUCCUCUAUUCUAGGAACAAACAGUUCUUAGUACUCACAUGAGAACACAGAGGACUCUGAAUAUUUGGUCACCUCAUCCAGUAGAUAUCUGUUGGUUCGACACAUUGAGACAGUUGUGGUGGAACCAGCCAUGACUAAGCAUUUACAGGUCUACUAUUUAAGACCUCUGUUUGUUUCUGUAUGUCAGAGCUCUCAACCCAACACUUAAGAGUGUGGGGUCGACCAGCCUCAUUAUUGCAGAGC